CUCUUGGUGGAGCGGUGGAAUGCGUAGAUAUCAAGAGGAACGCCAGUGGUGAAAACGAUGCACUGGGCUUGUCCUGACGCUGAGGCACGAAAGCGUGGGUAGCGAACGGGAUUAGAUACCCCGGUAGUCCACGCCGUAAACGAUGUCUACUAGACUGUGGGAGUUCUGAUACUUUCGCGAUCGAAGCAAAAGUGUUAAGUAGACCGCCUGGGGACUACGGCCGCAAGGCUAAAACUCAAAGGAAUUGACGGGGGCUCACACAAGCGGUGGAGCAUGUGGAUCAAUUCGAAGCAACGCGAAGAACCUUACCUGGGUUUAACAUGCUUGUAUGCCUGCCCGGAAACGGACCAGGCUGCCCUUCGGGGUGAAACUUGCACAGGUGCUGCAUGGCUGUCGUCAGCUCGUGUCGUGAGAUGUCGGGUUAAGUCCCUCAACGAGCGAAACCCUUACCGUUAGUUGCCAGCGGGUAAUGCCGGGGACUCUAACGGGACUGCCGGUGUAAAACCGGAGGAAGGCGGGGAUAACGUCAAGUCAUCAUGGCCUUUAUGUCCAGGGCUUCACACGUGCUACAAUGGCGACUACAAAGCGAAGCAAAACCGCGAGGUCGAGCAAAUCGCAAAAAAGUCGCCUCAGUUCGGAUUGUAGGCUGUCAACUCGCCUGCAUGAAGUUGGAAUCGCUAGUAAUCGUG
rnacentral:rRNA from 1 species